GUGCUGGAGAGUGCUUUCCUGACUGCUCCAAGCUUUUCAGAUGACAAGAAUGCCAGGAGAUGGCAAAGUUAACACAUAGAAAGAAAACGCAGUCUUCAUUCAGUUUUUCUUAAAGUUUUCAUGCUAAAUGAGGGAAACAACAAAGCCUAGCAGAGAAACUGUUAACCAAGACUUCAAUAUUGUCUCCCUUUGAAGUCAGCAGGAUUUUCAUCAUGACCUUCAGUACACCUGGGUUUUCUCAGUGGAUUACACAUGUACAUCUACUUCUGACAGUAUAACGUGGAAGUGCACACAUUCUCUCUCCCGGAACACCAUGACCCUUUCGAAGACACUCGAAGUUUUGAUGACUAAAGUACGAAGACCUUGGAGCAGGGGAGAAGAAGAAAUAAAUAAAUAAAUGUUAUGAAUUGUUACAGAAAAAAUACAGAAUGAGAUUUCCUGUUCUUGAAGUUGUCUG